rnacentral:rRNA from 1 species
UACGUAGGGUGCAAGCGUUGUCCGGAAUUAUUGGGCGUAAAGAGCUCGUAGGCGGUUUGUCGCGUCGGCUGUGAAAGCCCGGAGCUCAACUCCGGGUCUGCAGUCGAUACGGGCAGACUUGAGUGUUGCAGGGGAGACUGGAAUUCCUGGUGUAGCGGUGAAAUGCGCAGAUAUCAGGAGGAACACCGGUGGCGAAGGCGGGUCUCUGGGAAACAACUGACGCUGAGGAACGAAAGCGUGGGUAGCAAACAGG